AAUUAAGGAAGGCGGUCUAAGGAUGCAACAUCCUGUUGCAACAACCGGCAUCGUGUGCUGGCCCCAACGACGGCAUACCCGCAUCCUGCGGG
rnacentral:sRNA from 1 species